UUUACUUAUGUACAGGGAGAGAAAGAACUGGAAUGGGACAGAGAAGUUUAGAAUGGCAGCUGCACCAGAAUGACACGCAAAUUCGUGGGUUGUUCCAUGUUUUU
ensembl:snRNA U6 U6 spliceosomal RNA